rnacentral:rRNA from 1 species
AGUGUAGGCGGCUAUUUAAGUCGGAUGUGAAAGCCCCGGGCUCAACCUGGGAAUUGCAUUCGAAACUGGGUAGCUAGAGUUUGGUAGAGGUAAGUGGAAUUCUAGGUGUAGCGGUGAAAUGCGUAGAUAUCUGGAGGAACAUCAGUGGCGAAGGCGGCUUACUGGACCAAAACUGACGCUGAGGCUCGAAGGCGUGGGGAGCAAACAGGAUUAGAUACCCUGGUAGUCC